GUCAGGCUCAACAGAAGGCACACAGGUUGCAUUCAACUAAAGCGACAAGUGACGGUAACUUUCGUGGUCUCCUCGUGAUCAGUGCGGUCCGGGAGACUGAACCCAGUACCAGUGCUUCAUCUGUGCCGUUACCAUGGCAAUGGAGGCAGAUUCUCUGAGCUCCCCCGGGAGCCCGGUGUCCCGGGAUGACCCGGGCCUGUGGAUGACGCUGGACCUCCACCCUGACCCUCGACCCCCCCGUCCGACCUCCGCCCAGACACAUGGAUCGGACCUGGGGGCCGGUGCUGCCUCUGGCGUCGCCGGUGUAGAGGCUCAGGUCUACGUCUUCCUGCCUCCUCCACGACGGUGCACUGCACCACCACCACCACCAGGAGAAGCUACGCCACCGACUCACACCCCUGCCCAUGAUCCUUGCGUGAGCUGUCCCGCUGGAGGGACAGGUGAGGUCACGCAGGCUAAGGGAAAUCCUGCCGGCUUAGGGAGGCGCCCUGCCGAGAGACAGACGGUGGCUGAGCACAGCGAGGUCACGGACGAGGAAACAGGCAGCGAGAGAGAGAGGAACCGGGACCCAGAAGAUCAACAGCAGCCAGGGGAUAUGGAAACCGAAACCGCCUGUGAAGAGAAGGACGCCAAUACGGCACAACACAUUGAAAGCCUGAUUAUGGCGGGCGGAGUCGAAACCCUGGCGCAAACGAGCAGCGAUGCAUCAGAGCAACCGCGCAGUCCCGACACGUCGAAGGACCCUGAAGAGGGAUCUGUGAGCCAUUCUGGUCGGAUGGGGGUAACUAUCUCCACUGAGGAAUACAAGGCCUCGACCUCCCCCCCUUCAGACCUGGAGGACGGUCGAGAGGUAGAGGAGUGCGGCACCCUGUUACCUUCAGGGCAGAACAAAUCUCUUCCCCCGGAGAUUACAUCUCCGGGGGAAAGUGAGGACACCUCUUCUGUCUCUGCUGGCACAAACGCUCUCAGCCCAACAAAUGGGGGACUUGACUGCCUUGCUUCAGAUGUGACAGACCUAACAGACAUUGAGUCCGCUCAGGAAGACAACCGUCACCCAGAAAACAUCAUGGAGGUACCAGAUAUUGUCGAACCGCUGGACAGUGACACGGUGAAGGAACAGUUGGGAGUCAGGAGGCAGAGUGACAACCUGCCAUCCCUUUCCACCCACCUCGCUGUCGAGUCCUCCGCCGACCAACACACUGAGCUCCUGCUCCCCACGCCGGAACCUGGCCGUCGACAGAGUCAGAGCGACGGGAGCGAGGCCAUCUCCUACGUGAUCCAGCAGGGGGAACUGCUGCUUCAGCGGCUGCAGUACGUCCAGGACAGACAGGACACGCAGCCACCCACCACACCGCCCGCCGGGGUCUCAGCCAAUCAGACGGCUGAUGAAGGAGAGGAAGGGGAGCUGGAGAGCGGUGCAGCGUGGAGUGAGGGGGAGAGUUUGGGAGCGGGGGAGGAGGGCGGGGCUUAUGAAGUCGAACUAAGGGUGGAGCACAGAUCAACCCUGGUGGGAGAGGAUGAAGAGUGUGGACGGACCGAGGGACAGGGAGAGAUCGAAAGGACUGAAGAGGGUGUUAUCAAAGAGGGGUUGGUAGCGAUACCGGUGGAUCCCACCCUAGCCCCCCGCCCUCACCUCGGGGUCCCACGGUUAGAGAACAUCCCAAGCGAUCAUCAGAGUGACACCGGGGUCUCGGCGGACGUCUCCCCGACGCAUGCGCAGGAGGCACCGACCCUCACCGAGACCCCCGUUGUGGAGAUCAACCCCGAUGUGCUGGAGAUUCCCUUCAAGACCCCUAUCCUCCUCAAAGAGCUGCAGGGCGGAGAAACCGGCACGGCCAGGUGCCUGACCCGGCAGCUCUCGGAGAAGAAGAUGCAGAAGGAGAUCAGCCAGGAGCGGCAGAGGGAGCUGGUGCUGGUCAACCAGGGCACCAUCCCCGGGGAGUACCGCAAGGAGGGGACCCGGCAACUGAAGGAGACCAAGAAGCUCUUCGAGGGCCUCCUGCAGGGCUCCGCCGAGGGGGCGGUCAGGCUCAGUAAAACCACCUUCACAGACCCCGUCUACCCCUCGGUUCUGGAGCGCACCCGCAGCAUGGAGAUGCUGUCUCUGCGGGGCCAGCCGGUCUGCCGGACCCAGUCCCUCAGGGUACCCCGAUCCGAGGCCACCAACGGGGGGUGGAGGAGGGAGAGGUGCCGGUCCCGGAGCCCUGUCGCAGGGCCCUACCACAGGCUCGAGCACAAUCUGCGCCAUCACAGGAGCAUGGACUCUCUGAGCGUUGAGGCCCUGGCGUCCAAGCAGGGGAGCCGGAACACGGCUAAAAAGCUGCAGCCCUUUCUGGGGGCGAACCCGUUCGUCAAGCUGCGGCCUGCGCUGGCCCGCCAGCCGGAGGUCCAGAAGGACAUCCAGGAGUCCAGGGAGCGAGAGGAGGAGCUGCGCAGACAGAGGUGUGCCCUGUACGGAGAGAGCAUGGAGCCCCAGGAGGACGAGGACCCAGCAGCACCCACAGACAGCAGCACAGCAGCAGAUCCCAGGCAGCAGUCCAAGGGGAAAUUGGACCGGAUUUGGCCGCCACCGCCCAGGGCAGGCGGGCCGAGCUCUGGCCAGACACAGGGGCCCCGGGCUUCCAGACCGGGGGGUCAUGUGACCGGGCUGUCCCAGCGCUGGGAAGCGGCCAGUCGCCCCAGUACAGACCAGUCGUAAUCAUUGACCAGAUGACCUUUGACCUCUGAAAGGACCACGGCAACCUUGCUGCACCGACCGAUGUGGACGACCUGAUUUCUGAAACACAUCAAACUCUGUUGUCAUGACGAUGCGUUCCGUAAUGUCAACGGUGUUGUCAUGGCGUUCCUGUUCCAUUCCGUUCUCUUGAGUAGCUUUGUUCAUCUUAUUUUGCUCUCAACUGUGUUCUCUAGAUCCCAUUCAGACAGGCUUUGGAUUAACUGUAUACUCAUAAAGUUUGUAUAAAUCCCUAUUUUAUAGCUCAAAUUGACAUGCAAGUAAAGAAAUAUCAUGAGUACAUCUGGAAUCUUUUCUUCUCAUUUCCUUGUUCAACGUUGGGUAAAUCACAUGGUCAGAUCAUGAGUCAGAUCAUGUUUGUACUCAAGCAUGACAAAAUGCAUUUCUUUCAGAUCCUAACCACCUCAUCACCUCCCUGACCUGAGCCAUCUCUCACCUUAUUAACAAACAUUUCCCACUCUCUCCCCGAUUAAAUCAUCCUUAAUCGCAUGCAUACAUGAUCUGACCCUCUCUGAUGCAUCAUGGGGUUUAUCAGACUGAUCCUCCCGAUCAGUUUAUCAGUCGGUACCGUUGCUGGUCCUGGAGGGAUGAGGGUCAAUGCUCCGGAGAGGACGGCAGGCGUCUCCUCCGAUUUCAAUCAAAACAAAAGGAUUAUACAUUCCACUCAUCAUGAAAGGAUUGAAUGGAAGUAACUUAAAAAAACAAUGCAUUCAAAGCCAUGAACUCAGACAUAAGCAACCACCCACUGGGUUUAUCGGAGUGAUUGGAUAGUGGCGGCCGUAUCUUUUAAUACAGCUAGGGCUGUGUUAAUCACGUUCGGUUUUUAUUUUAACUCAGACUACACAUAAAACAACCCAUGAGUCAGGCUGAUCUAGCAGCACCCAAACACAACAACCCUCCCGGCUCCCCUCGUACCGCGCACAGACCGCCCGUGGCGGGCGGCAGAGUUCACUGGCUAUCGAUGUGGGGUCUGAGCAGCGACGAGCGAGAGCUUAGCCAGGCUAAACACCAUCUGUCCUGCCGCUCCCCUGUGCCAGCGGACUGUCUGCGCUCUAAUCCGCCGCAAGCUGCCGAGACGCGGGGCCAAGGGCCCGUCUCGUCCAACACGCCCUGGCUCCGCGCCGCACACCCGACACCGGACCUCGGCGCGGCUCUCGCACCGGAAAGGCUUUCAGGACGGCUCAAACUGGACAGCCCAACGUUGUGAAACAAGGAUGUUAUAGUGGGACCUAGACGUUCACUCACACACACGAGCACGCACGCACGAACGCACACACACACACGCAUAAGCACAAGCACACAGACACAAAAAACAAAAAAAAGCCAACACCCAACUACGCACGCACGCACACGCACACACAUACAGGAUGUGUUCCUGAGUUUGUCAAUAAGUUGAUCUCUUUAUUCAGUGUGGUGUUAAGUGCCUGACCUGCUGUUUGUUGGAUGCCUCUAUGGUCUGUGGAAACAGUGCAAGAGCGACUGCUGAAUUGCGGUACCUGUCAUUAAGGAGCAGGCUCGCCUUGCUUUAGGUCAUACUUGUCAUCCACAGACAGCCGCGGUUUAUAUCACCACAUUUUAGGAUAUUGCCAAGAUCCUUGGAAUCUUUACUUCAGUCGUUGAUUCCACUGAACUAGAAGAAUAAACAUUUAUUUCAGAUGAAUUGAAUGAUGAAUUGUAGCAAAAAAAUUAUUCAUGGACCACAGUUGCUCAGAACUAUAAUUGAUUGUAGAUAAUUCUAAAAGGCUUCAAUAAAUUGCCGCUUUUGCUCUUGAAAUAAAGUAAUGAUAAUACGAUACAUAUCCUAUAUUAGUUUACCAGAUGUAGUUCAACUUAAAGCACAGCAGAGAGUGCUGCUGCCUACAAAACAAGCCGCCAGCCUGUGAAAACCUCUCCUUGGCCUGGAGGCUUUCGCUGAGUUUGUUUUGGUGGGGUAUUACUGGUCUCUACAACUGCAACAAAAUGGUCACAAACAUGUAUUCCUCCGAUAAGCUUUUCAAACAAGAAAAAUAAAUACACAGAUGAAUAAAUAUAAACGCCUUUAAGUAGGCUAUAAUUAUCUCCAAUGUUUUUCUCGAACUCCUUACCUCACGUCUGUCAUUGCUUUGCGUAUUAACUUGGCUGAUACUUGUGCCAUGAUGACACAACUGAUUGGGUCUUAUAGUGAACGGCAGCGCCCGGUAAUCUCAGUAGGGUCACAGGCACAGCAUUGACCUGUGCCGGGGGCUGUGUGGUUAAACUCAAGGAUGUACUCACACCGCACCGAUGCCUGCUGCGUGCAGGUUAUGUCAUCCGUCUACAAGCCGGAGCAGAGGACGCGUAAUUCAGGUGGGAGGGAGGGAGGGGGGGAUACAUAAUAUGUAUCUUACAUAACGCGUGUCGCUGAUGACUCACGCGUGGUUCUUCCAUGGGCGUGUGAGACGAUUCCCGGGCAGGUUUACCGCAGGGGGCCGAGGGUGGCUGUCCGUCCGGCCGCCCUCCCGGUGAACCUAUUAGGGCUCCGCCCACCGCGUUCCUCACGUCCCGUCGGCGUGACGCAGGUGCUGACACGGACUUAAUCAUGAUUGGGUUCUGAUGUUGCAAUAAUGCGUUCGACCCGCAGGGACAGGAAAUGAAGAGGAACAGACCUGGGACGGAAACACUAUCCCUAGGCUGAUGUCACAAGCACAUCGUUCACGGAUCACGUUGCUCAAUAAUACCCCCGGGAUAUGAGACCAGUUGCUCAGCCAGGGGGAGGAUGCGGUUUGAUUCAUUCAGGGCUGUCGGUUUGUGUGUGUGUGUGUGUGUGUGUGUGUGUGUGUGUGUGUGUGUGUGUGUGUGUGUGUGUGUGUGUGUGUGUGUGUGUGUGUGUGCGUCUGUGCGUGUGUUUGUGCGUGUGUGAGUAAUCAUCAUUUACCAUGGUAAAUAAUGUA
rnacentral:lncRNA from 1 species